rnacentral:rRNA from 1 species
AGUGAACGCUGGCGGUAGGCCUAACACAUGCAAGUCGAACGGCAGCACAGUAAGAGCUUGCUCUUACGGGUGGCGAGUGGCGGACGGGUGAGGAAUACAUCGGAAUCUACUUUUUCGUGGGGGAUAACGUAGGGAAACUUACGCUAAUACCGCAUACGACCUACGGGUGGAAGCAGGGGAUCUUCGGACCUUGCGCGAUUGAAUGAGCCGAUGUCGGAUUAGCUAGUUGGCGGGGUAAAGGCCCACCAAGGCGACGAUCCGUAGCUGGUCUGAGAGGAUGAUCAGCCACACUGGAACUGAGACACGGUCCAGACUCCUACGGGAGGCAGCAGUGGGGAAUAUUGGACAAUGGGCGCAAGCCUGAUCCAGCCAUACCGCGUGGGUGAAGAAGGCCUUCGGGUUGUAAAGCCCUUUUGUUGGGAAAGAAAAGCAGCAGGUUAAUACCCCGAUGUUCUGACGGUACCCAAAGAAUAAGCACCGGCUAACUUCGUG